rnacentral:tRNA from 1 species
AGACCUGCAGCUCAAUGAUUAGAGCCGCUCGCUCAUAACGGUCUGGUUGCAGGUUCGAGUCCUGCCGGGCCCA